rnacentral:lncRNA from 1 species
CUCAGGUUUAGGUUGUGUGUUUGGUGUUCGGCCUCUGUCCUGGGAGAGCAUUGUCAAAACACUCUCCCAUACUGGCUGGUCAGUGCGUGAAAUGGCAGUUAGAGAAAUGUCAACCUCCACCCCAUCUUCAACGACCCUGUACUCUAACACACGAGCCUGCAACUUGAAGGGUCCCUUCUUCAGCUCAUCUAUUGGCUGCCAUGUUCUCAAACUCUGACGUACCCGGACUAGACCUAAAGAAACAAUGCACUGAAGUGGGGGGAUGUUGUAUGAACUACACAUCUGGCUGAAAUGAAUUAAUAUAUUCUACAGAAAUGUAGGAAGAAAACUGAGUAUCUUGUGUGUUGACAUUUGGAGGCCUUCAAAGACAUGCACUACCCAGCCAGCAGAGGAUGUUUUACUUACCCAGAGGGCUCAAUCUGAACUUCUCAGCAGAUAUUAAUAUGUCAAACAUUCGCAGACAGAGGGUCUCUGGGUAACACAGAGGGAUAUCCCUGAACUCAAUGUCUGGGUAGUCCCAGCCAUAUCCAGUUGCACUACAGAACCUCCUCAGUAGAUCCUUGUUGAACCUUAGAGAGAAAAAAGUACAGCACAUAGGAGAUAAUUGGUCCAAACGUGAACAAAUAAACAACCAUCUUUGUAAGGCAGUGUGUUGUUUGAAAUGAAACCAUAGCCCUAAAAGAAAUCGGACUGCUACAUUGUCAAGCGCAAUCAGUUUACCUGCAGUUAAAGAUGGUGAAGGCAACUUCACCUUUGACAUCGCUAUCGCAAAAGUACAAAUGCCCCUGUCUUUUGACAAGAGCUCUGAAUACAUAUCUGAGAAAAAGGUAGGCAAAACUUGGAAUCCUCUGAUGACUGUCAAACACCACAUUAUCUUUCAGUAGUUUAUAAGAGCAAUAAAUGUUGGCGUAAAGAAAAUAUAUGGCACACGCUGGGAGCCCAGCAAUGAAAACAUUAGUCAUAAUAUUUUCCAUUUUCAAGUAUUACAUGAGAAGCAUCCACCGACUAUUGUAUUUGGUCACUAAUAUGUACUAUACUGUUAUAAGAAGGCCUUCUCGGGAGAACGAGUGCUAGCUGCCCUUGUACUGAAGUUUGCAGCUAGUGCGAGAGUACACUGCCAUGCCAUUCAUACACGGCAAUUAAAAAACGAAAAACAUCGCCAACAUGCACACAAUUUUGGAUUUAACAAAUAUAUUUCUAAUCAAGUCACUUCGGUCUCCUUACUGCACUUUUGACACUUCCAACCAUAAUCAAAACGAAAGUUGUGUUGAAGUACGGAGUGCGUUAUGGGACAAAAAAUAUAUAACGUCAACAUGUAAUGUCGUUGGGUAAUAUCAGUUAUUGAUAUGAACAAACUCAAAAUGUGUUGAUAUUUAAAAAAUGUUUAUUUUUUUCAAGUAAUUGAUUGAAAGUUAGUGAGAAAAAAAAAAGUCAUACAUAAUUAAGUUGUCUACAUGAGACACAAAAUAUGAUAUAUCCCGACUUAUGGUGUUUAUGUCUGUUCAAAUUAUGUACAUUUUACAUUUUGUCCAGGAAGGUGUGAAGAAUAUUUUUUUUUUGUUGCAACAUAACAUUUUUGCAACAACAUAAGAUUACAAGAUGUUAAAAGCAACAUGCAUGCCAUAAUCAGCACUGUGACGCAAUCACAGUUUCAUAUUAGGAGAAAGAAAGUUUAAUUAAUCGCGUGCUCAAAGUAAAUUAUCCUUUGACAUUGUAGAAAUCGUCCAGCAGCAACAUGCUUUGGACUGCUUUGUGUAAACAUCAUUGACUAACCGGUGUCUUUGAAAGAAACUGAAUGGAGUAAAGGAGUAAACACUGACUGUUCCUGCAUCUGAACUGUUACUCAGUCUGACCAUGUAAAGUGGGAAUAAAUAAAAAGGGAAUCAAAUGUAAUGCUGACUCUUUGUGAUACAGCAACAAGUGUGUGUGUGUGUGUGUGUGUGUGUAAUCUUCUUUGUUGUGCAUGUAGGGUUUCUCCUUCAGGAAUCAUGGAGACAUCCCCCUGAGCCCUGAAAAUGUCUUCUCUUAGUUCAACAUCCAGAUUCAGUCCAGUCUUCGCUUCAGCCAAACAGCAGCAACAACACAAUGCAGACCGAAUUGACAGCAAUCAACGGCACUGCAAGAUGAGAGAAAAUAUGAUGAAUAAAGCCACAAACCAGUCUCAGUUCAGUUAGGUAAACAUCAUAAAAUAUUUUGAGGAAAACAAGAAUAAUCUAUUUAAAAAAGUAGUAUGUAUGCAGAACAAAGAUUUGAUAUUUAUAAAUGGUAUUGAUUUUUCAGUCGUACCUCUCAUUACUGUCCUCACAGAGCGGACAAGGUUCAUUAGCUGCACUUUAAUGCCCGGUUCAUCACCAAAUCCCCCAAUACUUUGGUCCACACCCCAG